rnacentral:rRNA from 1 species
CAUGCAGUCGAGCGGUAACAGGAGAAGCUUGCUUCUCGCUGACGAGCGGCGGACGGGUGAGUAAUACUUAGGAAUCUACCUAGUAGUGGGGGAUAGCUCGGGGAAACUCGAAUUAAUACCGCAUACGACCUACGGGAGAAAGGGGGCAACUUGUUGCUCUCGCUAUUAGAUGAGCCUAAGUCGGAUUAGCUAGAUGGUGGGGUAAAGGCCUACCAUGGCGACGAUCUGUAGCUGGUCUGAGAGGAUGAUCAGCCACACCGGGACUGAGACACGGCCCGGACUCCUACGGGAGGCAGCAGUGGGGAAUAUUGGACAAUGGGGGCAACCCUGAUCCAGCCAUGCCGCGUGUGUGAAGAAGGCCUUUUGGUUGUAAAGCACUUUAAGCAGUGAAGAAGACUCCAUGGUUAAUACCCAUGGACGAUGACAUUAGCUGCAGAAUAAGCACCGGCUAACUCUGUGCCAGCAGCCGCGGUAAUACAGAGGGUGCAAGCGUUAAUCGGAAUUACUGGGCGUAAAGCGAGCGUAGGUGGCUUGAUAAGUCAGAUGUGAAAGCCCCGGGCUUAACCUGGGAACGGCAUCUGAUACUGUUAGGCUAGAGUAGGUGAGAGGAAGGUAGAAUUCCAGGUGUAGCGGUGAAAUGCGUAGAGAUCUGGAGGAAUACCGAUGGCGAAGGCAGCCUUCUGGCAUCAUACUGACACUGAGGUUCGAAAAGCGUGGGUAGCAAACAGGAUUAGAUACCCUGGUAGUCCACGCCGUAAACGAUGUCUACUAGUCGUUGGGGUCCCUUUGAGGACUUAGUGACGCAGCUAACGCAAUAAGUAGACCGCCUGGGAGUACGGCCGCAAGGUUAAAACUCAAAUGAAUUGACGGGGGCCCGCACAGCGGGGGAGCAUGUGGUUUAAUUCGAUGCAACGCAAGAACCUUACCUGG